ACCACUACACCACCACCAUACUACACCACGCCACAACACUACCACACCACUAAGGCACACCACUACACCACUACACCAGAACCCUACCACACCACUAAAUCGUCCUACCACCCUCCAGUUCUUUCCUAUGAAUCUCCCAAGUCUUCAUAUUCUUCUCACCCCACCAAGGCGCCGACCUACCACUCCCACACACCCAAAUCCUCAUAUACAAAUUAUAAAGCCCAUACACCAGUCUACAAACCCCACAGAGUCCAUCCCGCCCCUAAAGGCAGAAGUUACGGCAAACCCAGACCCAGGCCACGUCCCCGGUACUCUCAGAAGGCUGUUGUGAGGCCCCUGCCCGACAAACACUUGCCGAGUAACUUCCAUACACUAGUGAGGGACUUGAUUCAAAGCAGCUCCCACGGACAGAGGUCUAAGGCGCAUCCAGCAUCAUCUCAUUCUACGUACUACGCCAGCGCGCCAGGUUCCCGUCCUGCUAGAGUGGAUGUGUUCAAAAUAGUACCUGCGGUCGCUAAAUCACACAAGUCUGGUUACACCACCCGCCACGUGUACAGCCACCCUAGGCACUAAGCGGCCCCUCUCUCCUCCCCCGCGUCUGAGGAACAGGACGGGUACGGGAGUGAGGCAUCAGGGCAUCAGGGAACCAAAGAGAGGAGUCAUCUUUCUUCCCUCCAGGUGUUCUCUCCGUCACUACAUUACUCCCGCAGUCCUCCUCGGUAUCAACGUGGUGGUGAUGAUCCUCCCCUCUCUCCGCCGCUGCUGUGUUAUGGCGCUACCGUUACGAACUGUUACCAUUAACUUAUUUAUUCCGUGUUCCUUUCUUCUGGUAGUGGCAUAUCGGGGAUGGUAGUGCGUGGUGGAGUGUUGCACGCAGGAUGGGACUGAUAACUAUGUGGCCUUGCAUUUAACCCUUUCAUUGCUAUUGACCAAGUCUUUCCUUAAUCAUAAACCGCCCUGAGACGUUUAAUUGUUAUGUUCGAGUCACCUCUUAACAUUGUGCUGGCUAGAAAGCGGAAAAUCUAGUCUCCAAAUCCCUUGUCUCUGUCUUGUGGGUGAUGGUAAGGAUUUCGGUACCAUGCUUCUGAUGUGAAAGGGUUAAACUCUCAUUUCUACACUGUAAACGAAAAUGCGAUGAUUCAGAAGAUACCUAAAGCUUGAAGUGCCAUCGUACAGUCUCCGAGUUGCCUCCAACACUCCACGCCUUGCACGCAAUGCUAUCUCAACACUGUUCAUCAUGUAAACCAUGAGAUGAGCGGCAUUUUAACACAAUUCGGCCAUGACUAUCGCACAACUAACAACAAUUUGCUUAAAAUAAAAUUCAGCAUCGAAAUCUCCCGAGUGAAAUUCCAUGCCCAGUCAAUUCUGAAGUGCCAUGUAAAUAAUAAAUGUGUACGUAGCCUUUGAGACACAUGACGACACAAAACAGCCUGAUUGUGUCGCGUCCCUGUGGCUGCAUACGCUUCAUCACUCUCUAUGAGAAGCAAGGACACGAGUCUUUUUUGUAUAUCAGUUAGAACAUUUCUCACUUACCAUUAGUAUUCAUAGUGUAGUGAAGACCUCUUGUAAAUACCACACAAAAGAAUGAAAGGAAGGAAAGUUGCAAUGAGUGCAGGCGACGGUCGGACCAUUGUGACGUGACCAAUACUGUCUACCUCUGCUUUGUAAGAAUAGCCGAACAAAAAUC
rnacentral:lncRNA from 1 species